AGAAGCCAAAAGGUGGCACAAUGC
rnacentral:siRNA from 1 species